GCCCCGGUAGCCCAGUUGGUAGAGGCAUCGGCAGUACAGAUUCCGAAAGUUGCAGGUUCAAAUUCUGCCUGCGGUG